ACCCUUUACGCUAGGAGAUUUAAAUAUCUCUAGUUCUGCACAGGAACCCAGGGAGGAAAACCUUACUAUGGGGAUAAAUAUCUACACUAGUUAUGAUUUCACAAGCACAUAUUGAUCUCUGCCAUGCAAGAGAUCAGCCUAGUGUUUCUUGAUCAACCUAAGGGAAUCCGCUUGGUGAAAUGGACAUAUUAAGUUGGAGAUAAUCUCCCUUUACAGAUCUGACACCAGUCAAGGACUUGGAGAAAACAAUGAGAGUAUCAUCGGACCGCAAUGGAAAGCCCCCCACCUACCCCACUCAGGAAGAAGGUGGUUUUGAGUGAAGGUGAGAUGAUUAUGUUGCUGUUGAUAACUAUAGAGCUGCUUCAGAAGCUGAGCAACACACAGAUCGAUAAAACUCUCGGUGUGUCACCUAUCUUACAUUGGAGCCAGCUUAAUUGCCUGUCUAAAUGACUAUAAUAUCACUACAUCUCACGGCACUCUCAACGAACAGAAUUCAAUAAUGCAGUUGGCAUCUCCCCUGCUCCAAACUCAUGAACCAUUUCCAAGCUCUGGGCCAUCUGAUUGGUCACUUCCACAUCACCUGACCCUGUCACUGAGAGGCGGAGAUGAUCUUAAUUUACUUCUGGAUUGGAAAGGGUCAUGGAUAUUGUCUGCUGGGUUGGAUUUGUCUGUCCUUGGUGGGGAGGACCCCAUCUUGACAUUGGACUGGAACGGGUUAAUAUCAUCUAGGUUAUCAAAGUCAAUAUUGUACGCUCCCCUGGAGCCUGGUAAGGGUAGUUCCUCCUCCUCCAUCACUGCUGUAUGACGUCAAAUAAUUAUAUUGGCCUUGCUCUACUUCACAUCACCAGUUAUAUGUACAGAUUCUAAAAGUAGAAAAUAAAUUUGAAAUAUCAACUUUUAUCUGUAGGAGCAACAUGCAGUAAUGAUAACAAUGCAGAGAGAGAGAGAGAGAGAGAGAGAGAGAGAGGGAGAGAAAGAGAGAGAGAGAGAGAGAGAGAGAGAGAGUGAUAAAAUGUACAAUAUGAGGACAACCCAACCCUACUGUAUUUUCAGUUAUAAUUUUUCACACAUAGCAAGAACAUACAAUAUUUGUAUGGUAUAAAUUAGAGUAUUCUACAUAUACUUGGACACUCAGUGAAACCAUGUUCAACUGGCUAAAGUAUGGAAAAUUUAUUUCAAACCUCCUCCAUCAGUCCAUCAGAUUUGCUUCCCAAUAACUGGAAAAGUACAAAUAAGGAAGAAACUUGAAAAAUUGCUACUGUCAAUGUUCUACUAAUAUGGAGUCCCAUCGAUAUUCAAAGUACAGAGCCAUUACUCCCCCACCCCAAUAAAAAAUGCAAUAGGGAAAAAUAUGGAUGAUAUUCAUCAGAGAUGAGUACAUUUAUUGCCUUUACAAUAACCCCUAUCCUCUCCUAGAUAUCGUGAGCAUAUCCUGAACUAGACAAGUUUCUUGGACUAGAGAGAGAGAGAGAGAGAGAGAGAGAGAGAGAGAGAGAGAGAGAGAGAGAAUGAGAGAUCAUGUUGGUUAACUUUCUAUUCAAAACAAAUCUAUUUUAAAAGAAAACCUAUUUUGCAAUUAAUUUAAAACAAUCACGAUAAUAACGAUCAUAAUAAUUACAUUAUAACUUGAUGUUCGCUGAAUCCCAGAUUCACUUCCCGCAGGUGAUGAGUCCAACCUAAAUAUCAAGUUAAAAACGAUGACUUGUGACUAGAAAAUGCUGAAGAUCUUGUUUGGGACACGAACAGAGAAAGUUUAUUGACAACUUAUGGACCUUCAAUGUCUGAAGAGUUUACAAGGAAGAUAACUCUAAUUUCUAGAAUUGCCUCACAGAAGUGUUCAUUUGAUGUUGCAAAUAAAGUAUGACAAUGUUUGAUA